rnacentral:rRNA from 1 species
CUAGGUCUCAGUUCAGAUUGCAGGCUGCAACCCGCCUGCAUGAAGUCGGAAUUGCUAGUAAUCGCGGAUCAGCAUGCCGCGGUGAAUACGUUCCCGGGCCUUGUACACACCGCCCGUCACACCAUGGGAGCCGGUAAUACCCCGAAGUCAGUAGUCCAACCUCGUGAGGACGCUGCCGAAGGUAGGAUUGGCGACUGGGGGUGAAGUCGUAACAAGGUAGC